GGGCGAUUAGCUCAGUUGGGAGAGCAUCGCCCUUACAAGGCGAGGGUCACUGGUUCGAACCCAGUAUCGCCCACCA
rnacentral:tRNA from 5 species